UGGUUACUUCUGCCGCAUAGGUGUCG
rnacentral:sRNA from 1 species